UGGGGAAUUUUGGGCAAUGGGGGAGACCCUGACCCAGCGACGCCGCGUGAGGGAAGACGGCCUUCGGGUUGUAAACCUCUUUUGUACGGGAAGAUAAUGACGGUACUGUACGAAUAAGUCCCGGCUAACUACGUGCCAGCAGCCGCGGUAAUACGUAGGGGACGAGCGUUGUCCGGAAUUACUGGGCGUAAAGGGCGCGCAGGCUGCGCUACAAGUCAGCUGUUAAAAUCAUGGGCUUACCCCAUGAGUGCGGUUGAAACUGUAGUGCUCGAGUACUGUAGAGGCAAGCGGAAUUCCCAGUGUAGCGGUGAAAUGCGUAGAUAUUGGGAGGAACACCGGUGGCGUAGGCGGCUUGCUGGACAGUAACUGACGCUGAGGCGCGAAAGCCAGGGGAGCAAA
rnacentral:rRNA from 1 species